CCUACGGGAGGCAGCAGUGGGGAAUAUUGCACAAUGGGGGAAACCCUGAUGCGGCGACGCCGCGUGAGUGAAGAAGUAUUUCGGUAUGUAAAGCUCUAUCAGCAGGGAAGAAAAUGACGGUACCUGACUAAGAAGCCCCGGCUAACUACGUGCCAGCAGCCGCGGUAAUACGUAGGGGGCAAGCGUUAUCCGGAUUUACUGGGUGUAAAGGGAGCGUAGACGGCAUGGCAAGUCAGAUGUGAAAGCCCGGGGCUCAACCCCGAAACUGCCUCUAAUACUGUUGG
rnacentral:rRNA from 1 species